AUUCUGCUGAGCUCAGUCGGUUAGAGUGUGGUGUUGAUAACACCAAGGUUGCAGGAUUGAUCCCAGUAUGGGACA